CCCUUAGAUGUCCUGGGCCGCACGCGCGUUACACUGAUGCAUUCAACGAGCUUAUAACCUUGGCCGAGAGGCCUGGGCAAUCUUGUUAACGUGCAUCGUGAUAGGGAUAGAUUAUUGAAAUUAUUAAUCUUGAACGAGGAAUUCCUAGUAAACGCAGAUCAUCAAUCUGCAUUGAUUACGUCCCUGCCCUUUGUACACACCGCCCGUCGCACCUACCGAUUGGAUGGUCCGGUGAAGCCUCGGGAUUGUGGUUCUUGCCGCUUUAUUGUGGCGUGACCGCGAGAACUUGGCUAAACCUUAUCAUCUAGAGGAAGGUGAAGUCGUAACA
rnacentral:rRNA from 1 species